rnacentral:rRNA from 1 species
GAUGAACGCUGGCGGCGUGCCUAAUACAUGCAAGUCGAGCGAACGGACGAGAAGCUUGCUUCUCUGAUGUUAGCGGCGGACGGGUGAGUAACACGUGGAUAACCUACCUAUCAGACUGGGAUAACUUCGGGAAACCGGAGCUAAUACCGGAUGAUAUUUUGAACCGCAUGGUUCAAAAGUGAAAGACGGUCUUGCUGUCACUUAUAGAUGGAUCCGAGCUGCAUUAGCUAGUUGGUAAGGUAACGGCUUACCAAGGCAACGAUGCAUAGCCGACGUGAGAGGGUGGUCGGCCACACUGGAGCGGGAACACGGACCAUACUCCUACGGGAGGCAGCAGUAGGGAAUCUUCCGCAAUGGGCGAAAGCCUGACGGAGCAACGCCGCGUGAGAGAUGAAGGUCUUCGGAGCGUAAAACUCUGUUAUUAGGGAAGAACAUAUGUGUAAGUAACUGUGCACAUCUUGACGGUACCUAAUCAGAAAGCCACGGCUAACUACGUG